rnacentral:lncRNA from 10 species
AGUGUGGCCGGAAGACGACUCGGGGCUGCUGCUGCUCUCGGGGCGCCGCCGCCGCUCUUUCUCCUCUGCUGCCGCCGCCGUCUCCCGGCAGCCGCCGCCGCCGCCGCUGUCCGAACUUGAAGUUGCCGGCGCGCCCGUUGCAGCCGCCGCCGCCGCCGCGGAGGUCGCCGUGGCCGCCGGGGGCCCCUUCUCGGCGCUCUUGUCCCCGGGGUAGUCGGAGGAGGCGAGGUUUUCCGGGGUGCCGUAGGCUGUCUCGAAAAACUGGUCGAAAGCCUGUGGCAGGACGCCGUUCCUGCCCACGGUGCUAUAGAAAUUGGACGAGACUGCGGGGGUGGGGUGGUGGUAGACGUUGGCCGAGCUCUUGGCCAGCACGUCGCCAGGCACGCCGGCCGCGCUGGGCGCCUGCAGGCAGUCUCUGUGCACGAGCUCCUCCGCGGAGUAGCAGUGGGCCAGAUUGCCGCGGGGGUGCCAUUUAGUGGCGGGCUCAAUGGCGUACUCUCUGAAGGUCACUUCGCGCACGGGUUGGACCUGGGGCAGGUUGGAGGAGUAGGAGUAUGUCAUUGGGCGCGAAGACGGGGUCUGGGGCAGAAAAGAAGGGAGGCUGGAGAAAUCUGGACCCGAGACGUAGUAAGUACAACUUGGCAAAUACAUGUUAGAGGAGCAGGGACCACGCUCAUCAAAAUCCAUUAUUGGGCUACCUUGGGCUCUCCGCAGUAGCCGAGCUUAACAUGAUUCUCCACUGCAGCUGCCUCUUUGAAGCGGAUCCGUGAAGUAGAAAUUUGGAGACCCACCUCAGGGGAAGCAACAGAUCGUCACUCGGUGUUCUCACCGAAAGCACGUAAUCGCCGGUGUAACUCAUGUUGGCUGGGGGGCCUCCCGGCGCGCGCGGAGAGGCUGGGGUGCGCCCCCAUGCAGCAUGCUUGUGCUCAAUUGCAGGGUCCUCGUUCUCGAGUGUGCAGAGGGCGGUGAGAGCUCAACUCUCGUCCCCACCUCCCACCCGCAGCUCCCCGGACUUGCUCUGGGAAGCGCCUCUGCCUCCGACCCUAGCCGGAACCCCUUCGGGGCCAGAGUUUGAAGCCGUGGAUGUGCCUGCCUGGUGGCUUGUCCGAUUUGCACGGUGACUUGAUUACACUCUCUCAUUCAUGGUCACUUCCGAAGCGCUUUAGUGCCUUCCGUCCCUAAACCGCCAACAGCCAGAACGGCUUCUCCCCGCGUGACUCGGCAGAGACAGAGGCACAGGGGCUGCCCUGCUGCUCACCGGUCCACCCAUCUGCCUGGUCUUCUGGAGCUGAGGACUCGGGAAACCAUGCAAUUGAGGCAAGCCUUGGGCUGCUUUAGAGGCGCUGACAUCCGAGGAGACUUCUCCUGGGAGGUCCAACAGCCGAGCUUAGCCCACCGGGCUCUGGGAAAGACCCGACUGAGGCUAAAGCCGCCCCGGAAGGCCAAGUCCGAGUUCCAUUUCUUGAAGAGGCCGGCGCGCGUAAGGCUGUGACAUUGGCCCUGGCGACUGGCUUCCCAGGAGCUGUUCUUUCUCAGGAGCUCCACAGCGCGGGCCAUCUCCAGAAAACUGUCUUCAGAGUGUAUUUCCUUUUAUCGUCAACCCAGAGCCCCACCGCGGCUAAUGCAAGAGGCCAAAAAAUGUUUGGAGGAAGAAAAACAAAGGCAGGAAGUGGCGGCGGCCUGACGGUGCGUGUGUGUCUGCAGAGAAGGGAGGGAGCCGGCUCAGUCUCUUCUUGUUUUUCCAAACUUCAAGGUCCAGGCAGCCCUCUGCAGGGCCGGGCCCCAUUGCUCCCCGCGCGGCAUUGGAGGUGGCCGCCCGGAGAGGAGAAGGCCAACGCCUGCGCCAGGCUUGUCAGGCGGAAACGGCUAACAAGGAGAUUUGGUCAGCAAAACAGACCCAGCCUUUCCGAGGCUUCGUCUGACUUGGCCCGAAAGG